UGGGGAAUAUUGGACAAUGGGGGCAACCCUGAUCCAGCCAUGCCGCGUGUGUGAAGAAGGCCUUUUGGUUGUAAAGCACUUUAAGCGAGGAGGAGGCUACUUAGAUUAUACUCUGAGAUAGUGGACGUUACUCGCAGAAUAAGCACCGGCUAACUCUGUGC
rnacentral:rRNA from 1 species